GGAACCCCAGUUGAGAAAGACAGGAGAGGUAUGGAUAAAAAACAGAUCCUAAACCUAGUUUAUUUUGUUUUAUUUUGGGUGGUAGUUGUUUAUUUUUUAAGACAUUCAAACCACCUAUAUUGGUGGCUGUUAUUAUGGGAUAAUUAUACUAAGAAACAGCAAGACAAUUUGGCCUCUACAAUUUGUUUGGUUUUGACUAAAUAUUUGCCUUGGAAGAAGUAUGUGUACAAUAUUCAUUUAAAAAGAUAUAACAGUCACCUCGUUACUGUCCUUGGAGUUUUGCUGGAGGCUUGAAUGAGACUGAAACCACCUGGACACCAUCAGAAGCUACACCAAGGAGCAAGAAGGCAACAUAUUGAAUCUCUUGGGAGAAACUCUUCCUGUCUCUGUUCAAUUGCAAACAUGAGGGUGCACAUUCUCAGCUACAUAUGCUCAGGUCCGAGUUUCCAAGGAAACAAGGGACUGCUCAUCUAUCUGCAAAAAUGAACUGACGAAUCACUUUCAGCCAGUUACAAACCUUGAUUUCAAAUCAAAUUCCAGUGUGGAGUCUAAAAA